rnacentral:rRNA from 1 species
UACGUAGGGUGCAAGCGUUGUCCGGAAUUAUUGGGCGUAAAGGGCUCGUAGGCGGUUUGUCGCGUCGGGAGUGAAAACUCAGGGCUCAACCCUGAGCGUGCUUCCGAUACGGGCAGACUAGAGGUAUGCAGGGGAGAACGGAAUUCCUGGUGUAGCGGUGGAAUGCGCAGAUAUCAGGAGGAACACCGGUGGCGAAGGCGGUUCUGUGGGCAUUACCUGACGCUGAGGAGCGAAAGUGUGGGGAGCGAACAGG